rnacentral:misc_RNA from 1 species
CCACGGACGCCAGCCUCUCAA